UACGUAGGGGGCUAGCGUUGUCCGGAUUUAUUGGGCGUAAAGAGCGUGUAGGCGGCCAGAUAGGUCUGCUGUGAAAACUCGAGGCUCAACCUCGAGAUGUCGGCGGAAACCAUUUGGCUAGAGUCCGGAAGAGGAAAGUGGAAUUCCUGGUGUAGCGGUGAAAUGCGCAGAUAUCAGGAAGAACACCCGUGGCUAAGGCGGCUCUCUAGUACGGUACUGACGCUGAGACGCGAAAGCGUGGGGAGCGAACAGG
rnacentral:rRNA from 1 species